CUGACCUUAGCUCAGUGGGUAGAGUGGUGGACUGUAGUUGGACUAAUCUAAAUUGGAAAUCCUUAGGUCGCUGGUUUGAUUCCGGCAGGUUGAU
rnacentral:tRNA from 1 species